rnacentral:rRNA from 1 species
UACCGCGGUUAUACGAGAGACCCAAGUUGACAAGCUCCGGCGUAAAGCGUGGUUAAGGGAUGAUAAACACUAAAGCCGAAGGCUUACUAAGCUGUUAUACGCACUCGAAAGUAAGAAGCACACCUACGAAAGUGGCUUUAUUCCGCCUGAAUCCACGAAAGCCAAGGCA